CUGUUCUGGCUCCCCCUCACUAAUCCUUGCUACUUGGGUGAGAAUGCUUUCUGAAUGCAGUGCACCUGGGCAAGGGUUCAAUGAGGGUGAGC
ensembl:miRNA